UGAAAAACAACAAAAACAACUUUCUAAGUCGGUUGCUAACGUCAAUAAACUGACUAAAAAGACAAAACAAAUCGUGAUCAUCUCCAUCAUCAGGCACUAUCUGUGUAGACAACAUAUAUUGACAAUGGAAGUACAGUUACAAAGGCCUCCUCGGCACAGAGAGGCGAAAAGGAGGAAUGCUCUCUCCGAUCAGACCCCCCUCUUGAGGUCGGAUUUCAAUGUCGAUAUGACGACGGAUGUACAGGAUAACUCCAAACUGAGCAGACGGAGCACCAUCAUCUACUACACUCUCCUCUUUCUAAAAGUGGGGCUGUCGAUCACCUGUGCUUGGAUCGCGUCUUACUUUGACCUGGGACCUGUACGUCUUCUCCUGCCCCUGGUAUUUUGCUUCAAUUCAGGGCUGAUGCACAGAGCUCUGAAUUGGGCUAAAAGGCGUCUGCAGGGCCUAGUCACACAAACCGUCGCACUGGCUUGAAUGACACAUAUGCAGUUUCUCGACAGCACAGAGACACGCAUGCAAAGACAUCAAUAAAAAGUUGACACCGACUUUGGUUUCCAUCCAUUUUAAUUGAAUUUAUAGACUUUCAAACAAACUUGUACAAAUUGCAAAACAGCUUUUGGUAACACCUCAUUGUUUUCUUAUUAUCGUUAUUAGGAAAUAAAUUAAGUGAAUAAAAAGUAAACAAUGAGAAUAGAGAACAUAGAAAUACAACAGAAAGAAUAAUACCACAAAGAGCAAAAGAAAGAAAAGAGGCAACUGUUUUCCACAAACUCGCUGCAAGUUAACUGCCAACCAGACUAGUCUCUGGUCAGACCAACAGUCAAACUGAAGUUCCUCCUUGUGGUAAAUGACACAACAUUUUGUACUGGCGAUGUAAUGAAAAAAGCCCAUCCUGAAAUUCACAACAUCUGAUUUAUACUACUUUUCACUGCACUACUGCAUUUAAACACCAGGUGGCAUCACUACCACAUAGCAAAACGGCCGCCCACUCCUGACUCCACCAGUUGUCUUAGCAGAACAGAUUGAUGUGAAAGGAGAAUAACAUAAACGCUUCCAAGAGCGAAUUUCCUUCAUCAUAUUUGUUAAUUGUGUGCUCUAUAAACACAAUUCAAAGAAUGUGGAGCAUUUUGUGAAGCUUGCCUUCUAAUUAUUGGUCUUUUUUAACACUGAACGGGUUUACUGGGAUAAGUUAGACACUUACAAAACUUGAGCCAGUGCUGUUAGAUAUUUUAUAUCCUUAUGUGCUUCUUCAU